rnacentral:lncRNA from 12 species
GUUCAGAGCUGUUAGCAUUUCCAGCAGAACAGGUGAGGAGCUCUCUUGGGCUCUGAACUAUUCAAGCCCUGAGGUCUGAAUCAAGUCCUCAGGCAGGAACCAACAUGAUAUGUCCCUGGUGUAAAACAGCCCUGGCAUUUAGAACAAAUAAAACUCACCAACAAUCACUACUGGAUUCUCUACAGUUUUUGCAUGGGAACUCUGUGUUUUCUUGCUGGGAGCUCUGGGUGUGCCUGCAUUGUAAAAAAGAGAGAGAUGCUUACCAGGGGUUUGCUCUGCAGGGUUGGCUACAAGAAUAUAUUUGUGUGCUGAGGACUGGGGCAGGUGGGGAGAAGAGAAGAGUUUAUGUUCAUUGUAUAGUUUGUGUAAGAUGCAUCAGUGCACUAAGAUUUUUUUUUAAUGCUGAACACCUUCUUUGUGUGGCUAAUUGCAUCUGUGCAGCCU